rnacentral:lncRNA from 7 species
UGUUUCAUUUCAGUUUCAAUUACAAGAUUUUAUUCCUGCUAUUAAUUUUCACUGUCAUCUGAAAUCUAAGGAUCUGAUGUAAUAAAGUUCAAUUGUGGGGGGAAUUGGAAGCUUCUCUGCUCCAUUCCCCAGCUGCCAACAGCACAGCACUGGGCAGGAAGGUGGCUUCACUGCCAAACUGCUUCCCACACACACUGCUCACAUGAAUGACCCAUAUUUGUUGCAAGCGUGAAAUUAUUUUUAUACUUGUGAAAAGAGCAUGAAUAGGAGGGCCCUAUGCCAUUUUUGUGUGGCAGUUCCCAGGCACUGCAAACACUGUGGCCCUUCUCCAGGCCCAGCCUGCUGAGAGCAAGUGAUGAAAGUGGGACAUGAGGAGAGGGUAAGGAAGAAAUCAUCUCUAAUAGGAUUUUAACAAAGUUAUCAGUUUUGUGUUUAAGCCACUAAAGACACGAUACUGACAACAGCACAAAUGAAUUAUAAGUCUGCAACACAAACACUCCUGAAAUUUUUGUAUUUACAUGGCAACCAGCUUAUUAUAUUUACAUGAACAUCUGCUGCAGGUUCACAAAAAUCUUUAAAACAGAUGGACAUGAAGAAUGAGCUAGUAAUUAACAAAGCUAUAUGUUGAUUAAAUCAGCGUGUGGUUAAUUUUAAUGAUUACUGAUCCUUAUUGGGGUCCAUAAGACUUGUCAAUACCAAAACCACUUCAGCUGAUGAACCACAGCCACAGAGCACCACACUCCUCGCUGUCCUGAUCCUGCUCCAGUGGAAUUAAUUGGAGCAAGUAAUUGUGGGCCCAUGCCAGAAAGGACUGUUGUGAGCACCCGUUGUUCUUUGAACAUAGAAACUUUCCAGAAUGGGUUUCUUUUGAGCUAGAGCGGCCCCUACAGAAAGCCACAACCCAGUGCCCCCAUUAAGAUGUUUUUGGCAAUGAGGAGCCUUCUGGUAGGAUGUUCUUGUCGCUGGAGUACGCCCCCUGCACAUAAAACUCUUAUUUAUCUCAGUUUCCAGCUUUGGAUCUCCUUUAUCCCCACCUACUUUGAAAACCUGUUUCCAAAGUCC